rnacentral:rRNA from 1 species
CUAUGCCUAGCCCUAAAUCUUGAUACUUCCCCCACCAAAGUAUUCGCCCGAGAACUACGAGCACAAACGCUUAAAACUCUAAGGACUUGGCGGUGCCCCAAACCCACCUAGAGGAGCCUGUUCUGUAAUCGAUAACCCACGAUACACCCGACCACUCCUUGCCAAAGCAGCCUACAUACCGCCGUCGCCAGUUCACCUUCCCUGAGAGAGCAACAGUGAACAUAAUAGCCCUACCCGCUAACAAGACAGGUCAAGGUAUAGCCUAUGGAGUGGAAGAAAUGGGCUACAUUUUCUAGAAUAGAAAACCACGGAAAGAGAUAUGAAAUCACCUCUGGAAGGCGGAUUUAGCAGUAAAGAAGGAUAAUAAAGCCACCUUUAAACUGGCCCUGGGACACGUACAUACCGCCCGUCACCCUCCUCAAAAGCUACAACUCCCAACAUACCUAAUUUCCUAGCUAGCUAAAGAUGAGGUAAGUCGUAACAAGGUAAGUGUACCGGAAGGUGUACUUAGCAUACCAA